CUAACAAGGAUUCCCCUAGUAACUGCGAGUGAAGCGGGAAGAGCUCAAAUUUGUAAUCUGGCGGUCUCAGGCCGUCCGAGUUGUAGUCUGGAGAAGCGUUUUCCGUGCCGGACCGUGUACAAGUCCCUUGGAACAGGGCGUCGUAGAGGGUGAGAAUCCCGUCUCUGACACGGACCGCCGGUGCUCUGUGAUGCGCUCUCGAAGAGUCGAGUUGUUUGGGAAUGCAGCUCAAAAUGGGUGGUAAAUUCCAUCUAAAGCUAAAUAUUGGCGAAAGACCGAUAGCGAACAAGUACCGUGAGGGAAAGAUGAAAAGCACUUUGGAAAGAGAGUUAAACAGUACGUGAAAUUGUUGAAAGGGAAACGCUUGAAGUCAGUCGCGUCUUCCGAGACUCAGCCGGGUUUCCGCUCGGUGCACUUCUCGGUGUGACGGGCCAGCAUCGAUUUCGACCGUCGGAGAAAGGCCGAGGGAAUGUGGCACCUCCGGGUGUGUUAUAGCCCUCGGUCGUAUGCGACGGUGGGGAUCGAGGACCGCAGCACGCCGCAAGGCCGGGGUUCGCCCACGUAACGUGCUUAGGAUGCUGGCGUAAUGGCUUUAA
rnacentral:rRNA from 1 species